GGGGCGGGGGGGCGGCGCGCGGCGCCCGGGGCCUGGAGCUGCGGCUGCGGCGGCGCCGGGGGAACGUGAGGGAAAACACCCGGCUCCGGCGGUGCUGAACCCCGGAUCGCCUGAAACGCGUGUGCGAUCCGCGCGGAAACCGCCAGUUCCCCCCAGAUCGCAUCCUCCCGACGUGAAAUUUGGGCUCAGCCCCCCCCCCCCCCCCACGCGGGGUUUGGGGCUGUAAAGUUCCCGUUAGAAAUCGCGUCUUUAUGGUAGGAAGGCGGCUGUCGCUGGCCGCGAACCUGCCCCCGUGACUGACACGCUGGUACUGAUUUGGGUUUGAUCGAAUUGACUUUACACUGAUUUUAUUUGGCGUGCUGCAAAUGGCAUUGAGGCCGCGGUGCAGUCCGUGGCGAAGGCCACUCGGAACGCUUGAAAUGGUGGACGCCAAAUCCGGAGCAGCACGAGGUGAAGCGAGAGGUAAAAAACAUGGGUUGAAGGUGAGCUGGGGCGCGAGCGAGCUGGCCCGCAUGUGUCGUCAUCCUGCGGGAGCCGGCUGCGAGGGGCCGCACCAAGCAGGAGUAAAGAGGAAGAAAAGGCUGGGGGACUUUUAUAUAUAUAAAAGGGAAAAUAAAACACGUAGGGGGAGAAAUACAGACACGUAGGAGGAGAUUUCUGCGGUACCAAAUGGCGACGAGCAGGUUUGGCCCGGAGCUGGUAAGUUCUCUGAAGCAGUUUGGAGUAGGGACGAUGGGCGACCUGACCCACCUUGCUAGGGUCGGUGCUGUGGUGAGGAGGUGGUGGUGGUGGUGGUGGUGGUGGUGGAGGUCCACUCCUCAGACCAGGGACAGCCUCAGGAAACCGAAAUGGGACAGACACUCCGUUUAGUUUUGGCUUCUUACGUUUACUGUUUUUUUCUGAAUUAACAUACAUACUGAAAGCCAUGAUCAUGCAAUUUUUACCCCUAAAUCCCAAAUAGUGGAAAGAAAUCCAAAUUAAUUUGUUGUUUUCCUUAACUGCUGUGCUGACAAGUUUUUCACCUGUAAGGCCCUAAGAAGGUGACUUUAUAAAGUAGACUUUAAAGCCCUAACUAGUUUGAAGGAUGAUAAAGAAACUGGUUUGCAAUAAGGUAUUUUACAUUCAACAUGCAGGUCUGAGAGCUUCUUCUUUGUGGGUGUGGGAAACUGAUCUUUUACAGCAAGUGGCAAUUAGUUGUUUUUUAAUUGCCAUCAAGUCUCUGGGCUGGAGAGAGCUUCUUGGACAAGCUCUGUCCUUAUGAAAACUACUUCUUCCCUGUUGAAAGUUGACUCUAUUUUCCGGCUGGCUUGCGCGUUCAGCCCAUAAUGGUUAUCCAAAUACUUUCAUGUAUGAAAUUAGUUACAUCUGUGUCAUAACUUUAUGGACAGCUGAAACUUUUGCAUUAAAAAAUGAAGACUAUGAUAGGCACAAUAUUGCAUGACAAUUCUUUAGAUAAUGAAACAUGGUGUGUCAUUAAUGUAAAUCCAAAUGGUAUGCUAUUUAUUUUUAAAGGAACUCAGUCUUGAUGCUUUUAUUUGUAUUAGCAAUAAAAGCAUACUUAAAAAAAAGUUAAAAUUUAUGUGUGUUGUGACCUGAAUAGAUAUAGCUCAAUCACAGACUAGACCUUGUGCUUUGAAAUCUUAUUUCAGCUUGAAGUUAACACUUGCUUCAUUCCAUUACUGAACUGAGGAGAAAUUUUAUGUCACACCGUUGACUUGAAUCUGCUUAAAUCUUGAUGACAGCUACUUGUCAUGAUUCAGGUCUGUGACCUGAGCUUUUGGGCAUUGUUGGGCAAUUUAAAAGCUAAUUCAAAAACCAGUGAAAAGUCAGUAUUUUUACAGGGACAGUUUAUAGCAUAUUGUAUGUAUCAUAUUAUCAUUAUGGUGAGCUGUUUUUUUCAUGGUAAAAUUAUAAAAAAAACAACAAAAAAGAAUGUUUGGAUAUCUCUUGUGCCUAUGCUUUGGAUGUCUAUAACUACCUAAUGAGUGAUCGUAGAGAAGAUGGAGGACAGACACUUCUCAGGCGUGCGGAGCCAAAGGAUAAAGGUCAAUUGAUACAAGUUGCAGGAAGGGAAAUUCAGAUUAGAUGCAAGGAAAAAGUUCUUUUCAGGAAGGCAGUCUAAUGCUGGAACCAGGAGCCAGAGAGGUGGUGAAACUCCCAUUCUUGGAAAAAUUCUUGACUUGACUGGACAAGGCCCUGAGCAGCCAGAUCUGACCCUGCUUUAAGCAGGGGUGUGGGCUAGGUGAUCUCCAGAGGUCCCUUCCAACCAAAAUGAUUCUCACGGUGUGUGAUAUACAUUGUGUUAAUUAGCUUAGUAUUUUAGUAUGUCUGUGUGUUGGGGUUUUUGUGCGCUGAUGUAUUUUUGGAGUGAACUAGAUGCCAUAAAGCCUAUAUGCUCAUGUAAAUUAAUGAGUAUGCAUAAUUUGAGAGAUAAUUUAAAUGUUGACAUAGGUAAAUUUGUUUUGAGGGUAUCCUACUAAUCAGAAGAUUGAAAUUAAAAUAGCUGAUAAUUAAGUUAGCAUCCUGAAAUGGAUGCAUACAUUUGUUCAUUUUCUAAUCUGUGGGUUUUAUGAACAGGAAUUUUUUUGAAAGGACUUCACAGGAAUUUAAGAAGAUUAAAAAAAAAAGCUAAAUAUAUUUACAGAAUAGAGGUGUUCUCUGUAAUUAUAUUCAAAGAACAGGUUCCAUAAAAUCAAGGGACUAGUUAGGUUUCGUAAGCUUUCUGAAGUUUGGAACUCUAAUUCAGAAAAAAUUCAGCCACUCACGAUCCAUUGGUUGGUUUGCAGUUUAUCAAACUGUUUAAAAUUGUCUGACGUUUGUGGGAGAUUUUCUUGAAUGUUACUCUGCUCACUUGCUGAAAAUAGAUUUUUUUUAUGUUUUAGUAGAAGGCUGAGGGCUGUCUAUUACAGGCUAGGGAACACUUUCCAGAAUUACAAAACUCUAGUAUUCAUCACUUGUAUAAAAUUGCUGGGAAAAUUUUUCCAGUGCACAGCUAUCUAUGUAUUGGUACUGGACUAUGCACAGGAACCCAGUGGGAGUGGUUAUUAUACAACUGAUAGGGUGAGAGGAGGGUGUAAUGUUUUUGUGUAAUUCCCAGAAUUAAAGCACUGUGUGUUUGCAUUAGCCAUUUUUAGAUUAAUGGUGUAGCGUAAUGUAUUUAAGAGUCACACAUUGGAGAAAGUGACACUUUGCUCUUGCCACACUUAACAAGAAAAGCUACUGACAGAGAUGUUUCCAAAUGUUUUCUCGAAAUAGUAUCUUGCCUAGCCAGUUGCUUCAUGCCCCCUGACAUAUGCUAUGUGAAAUGUUGUUGCCAACGCAUCAGCAGUUGUUCUUCUCAUCUUAUUUCCCAUUAUCUGUUUAUGAUUAAACAAAGCCCUGAACUCCACUGGUGGUUUGAUACUGCUCUUUCAUAACUAGCACUCUGAAAAUAAAGCAUGCUGAAAGUAUAUUUUCAAAAAAUGCGGUGCAAGCCAUAGAAACAGUGUUUAUCAUAGAGUGAAAUACAGCCGGGUGUCAUAAGAUACCAUGUUUCACUAAUAGAUACAUGUUACAUACUAACAGACAUAAAAAUGUCUGAUUAUUCUUAGGUUAAAAAACCAAGAGAUUUUCCUAUAGAACUUUUGUGUUUUCCACAUUUCAAAGAAAGAAGUUGGUAAGCUAGUGAGUUAGUUUUAUUAGCCUAGUACUUAGCCUUAGUACGUGUUUUUUUUACAAUGUGUUUAUCAACAUCGCGCAUAAAAGUAUUCCAAACUUCAGGUUAAUAGCACUUAAACUUUAGAUUGAACUUUCUUUAAUCACAGGAGUUGUCUGCCCUCAUCAUCUUUCCCUGCUCCCCCUACCUACAUGAAUGCCUACUCUUAGAGCUGUCCCAGAGCCAUGAGCUAUACAAACCCUGGUAUCUCCAAAAUAUUAUAAUUUAGACUAUUUUCCUUUACCAAAGAGUCCUUUAGUCUGAGCAUCACUAAAGGCCCUUUCUCCUCAUCCAGUCUGAUGUCCUAAAACUUGUAGUUCCACUUUUAUCUUGGCUUCCCGCUCUCCUGAAACACUGGUACUCUAGCCAGCAGCUUCACCCCCUCCCCGGCUGCCGCCAGGCUUUGUGUCCCGUGCUUGUGCUGAGAUUCCCGUGCCGAGUCGCAGACGUGCCUGCCAGCCUAGCCCGCAGCUGAUUUGCCUCACUGGUGACGGGAGCUCUUCCAGGAAGGAGCAGCACAGCCUAUUUUCUCAGGGCUAGUUUGGCUGCUGCAGCACAUUUCCUUUAUAUAUUAUGGAUAGCUUUUGUAUGAGGGAAGGGAAGGGAUGAUGCCAUAUGCUUGCUUACUGUUUACUGCUGCAAAUGCAGAACGUGCCCUAUCUGGUCACAACUUUGUCCUGCUUACUUUCCAGUAUUACCGACCCCAGAUGAACUUCACACCUUUCAUGCAGCUGUUAUAAAUGAAAGAAUAUGAGAAAAAAGAACUAGAACUGCAGAUACCUUUGCUGCAGGUGCCAGUCAUGAAGAAACCUUGGAAGCCUUAGCUUUAGACAAUUAAAAGCAGUAUUUUUUUCCCUAAAAUAGAAAAAAAGAUCUUUGAUAGCUGAGUCACCUCCUGACUGAAGAAAAUGUCUGCAGUAUUGUCUUUUUCAUGCUGUGAUCCAGUAAUUGCUUUCUGGCAUUAUAGGAGAAAAAACUUUGGCUAAACAGAAACUUUACGCACUUCAGAGCACUCUGAGAACACUUUAAUAUAAUACUGUUGACUUAGUAAUGUCAAAAACACUGCUGCUUGGAGAGAAUCGUGGGAAUGGUUGCUUUGUAUGCCCGGUUGAGGAGCCAUAGGAGUUUGCCACUAAAUACAUUGGUGUGGAUUUGAAAACAAUCUCGCAUAGCAGAGACGUCAUUUUCCAUUUCUGCAUUGAUUUGCUACUGCCUGUAGUAAAUAUAAACUGUUCCUAGCAGUUUUCAUAGUAAUUGCUGGUUAUCUGCAUAACUGAAACUCUAAGCAUAACCAUGUUUAACAGGUUAUUACUGUUUGAAGAAAGAUUAUUAGGGCUUAUUGAAUUACUAUGUUGUAAUUGGAUUCCUUCUGCUUCCUCACUCUUUUUUUUCCCUUUUCUUUUUGGCCUGCCUUAUUGCAUUUUACAUUUAGUCUCCCAGAGUUUGAUCCAUGCUGAUUUGGUCAUUACUUGAGCUUUUUAAAGGAUACCUUCUUCUGUCUAACGAUCUCCCUCAUUAGCACACUGUCCAGCUAUGCUGGCUUUCUCCUGCCUUUUUCCAAGCCUUUUUAAGAGGUGGUAUGCCUUGGCUGUGAACAUUGUGCAUUGAAUUCAGUAGUCUCCUUCCCACCUAAAAGAUUUAAUUAUCUUAGUUGCCUCACAAUCUACUUUGAACAAGCUUAUUUUUUCAGUCUGUCUUUAUAAAGUUGAUGAUAAGUUUUAAUGGAUUUUAAGUCUUUGUUAGUCUUACAGGGAGACCAAACAGUAUUAGAGUUGUUGUAUUACAUGUGACUCUUCAACUGUAAGAUUUGGAGUGAGAUCUUGCAUGUUACUGAGGACCAAGCCAGGGAUCACAUCUGGUUUUGUGGGCUAACCAGUUGUUCCGUAAAACAGUAGUUGGUAGCACCUGGGAUUACCAGUUGGGAAUCCCCCCAAACUGGAUUAGUUUUGGGGAUUACCUUCUGAUAUGGCCCUUACCUCCAUGCAGAAAAUUGGAAAAUUGUGAUUCUCCUUACCUUUGCAUUUCCUGCCCUUUUCUACUCUCUGACAUGCUUUAGCAUAUUGCAGUCAGCAUUGCUAGCCUGGCAGGCAGGCAGAAUUUUGAUCAGUGCUAUAGUCUUCAUAUUUUGGCUUGCAGUUACCAUGUGCACUCUUCGUGAUAGCUGGCUUGUUAAUUUAAUUUUAUUCUAUGUUUGCUUUAGCACUGCUUUACAACCAGUGCGGUGUAUUCUCUUUUUCCUGUGUGUUUUUCAUCUGGGCGUUGAAGCGUUCCACUGUUUGUCUUCAUUCCACAAAGUCUCUGUUUAUGCCUCUGCGGUUGAAUUCUUUGAAAGCUACAUGUUCCAGUUUCCGCAGGUACAACUGUUGUCUCUUUCCUUGGUAACCUGUUUCAGUGGGUUUGUUUUCCAUUUCCUAUCUGACUGUUUCUAUCCUCUGAAGUAUCCUUCAUCCCUCACAGAAGGAUGUACUGAACGGUGUGUUCUGCCACACCUGCCAGCUUUCCUUCAUUGCUCAAUGUAAAUGUCAUUUGUGACCUUUUUGAUUUUUAAGUGCCAUCAAGUUGAAUCUCUUGUGACUUAGCUGAAGUCCUUCCUUUCUGUACAGACUCUUUAUUUGAAAAGUGUCCCAAUUCCUGAUAAAUCAGAAUUCCUACCACUGUCAGCAGGUAUUAAAAUGCUGCAUUCCUCCUCCCCGCCUCCCCCCCGCCUCCACCCACAGCCUUUCACUCCUGUACAAGGAAAUCUGUGUACAGAAAGAACAUUUAGGAAAAGUCUUUUAAGGACUUUAAAGGCUUUAGCUGAAGGGCAGAAGCAUAUACAUAUGAAAACGUGUGCCAUCAUUUUGCUUUUGCUGGCACUUUUCUACUUUGACUGAAGAAAACUGAAAUGCAGGAAGAGAUUAUAUCUUCACAGAACAUGCUAUCUGAACUCCUCUUUGAACUAAACAUUAAUGGUGGCUCCCGUCAGCUGGUAAGAAAGCUGCGUUCCCCUCCCAGCUUUUCACUCCUGCAUGGGGUGCUAGUGGCCCUUCGGAGAGCACUGUCGUAGAAGUGGUUUUUUUUCAGCUUCCUUUCUCUAAACCUACAUCCUUCCUCCAGGUCCUUUUUCCUGUCUUCUGUCAUUGGUACCGCUUUACAAAAGCAAUGUGGUUGAUGGUAAAGGAGAAUAGUUGCUUUCAAUUCUACUUGAAGCUAGGUUACUUCCUCAGCUGUGGAUCUUUGGACAUUUACAACAGUUCCAUAUACAUAUUAUUUUUCAUUUUGUUUUGCAUUCUUUCUUCUGGUUGGUUUGGACUCACAACAGCUUAUGGGACAAGGAGUGUUGCUGCGGACUUGUUCUGUUUGGAUGCAAUGAAGUUGUAAUCACGUGGAUCAGAGCCACCAUUAAUUUUUCGUUCUGAGUUCAGAUAGUAUGUUCUGUGAAGACAUAAUCUGUGUCUGCAUUUCAGUUUUCUUCAGUCAAAGCUGGAAAGUGCCAGCAAAACCUAAAUGCUGUUUCCUAUGUAUAUGUUUCCCCCCUUCGGCUGAAGUCUUUAAAGUCCUUAAAAGACUUUUCCUAAAUGCUCUUUCUGCACAUAGAUUUCCUUGUUACUCAGUGUUCUUGGGCCUUGGGUACUUUACUUAUGUAAAAGCUAGGAUUUAAGUCGUGUUUCAAAUUAGAUUCAUCUCAUUUAACUUUAAAGUUAUUAUUUCCUUUGACAUAAGUGGUUCGUUGUUUUGUCCUGCCUAUGGUUAAUCUCUGCCGUUUUGCUCCAGGGGUUGUUCUCAGUGCAGUUCCAGUCCCUUAGCACUGCAAAGGUGCUCUCCAGUUCUUCCUCGCUGGGAACACCAGUCAAAAGGAACCAGCAGAGGAGUAUGUUCCAAAGCAAUGGAAGUUGCCGUGUGUGUUGUGAGUAUUUCUGUUGCAGCACUAUGCCACUUCACAGCAAGAAGGUAAGUAGAAACAAAGAUCCGACUUCUGGAAAGGCAGGCCGUGUGAGACAAGACGUAAUCUCAGUUUAAUGCCAAGUGCUACUAGAUUAAUCGUGCUUUUGUGAGCCAGUCUGUAGAAAACAGUGGGCAAGCCUAAUGUUCCACAGAGGACUACUGUCCACAUGUAUGAGCUGGUUCAACACCUGCUGAAGCUAACAAUGCUCUCCACUGAUGCCAGGGGAAUUUGGAUCAGGUCCAUAUACAGUCAUCUAGCCCUCAAAAGUCCAUGUUAAUCCAAGUACAUGUGCCAGUGGUGCACCAGUUGGCUGUGAACUUCACGCAUAUAUUAGAGGUCUUCCAGAACUUUAAACAUAAGUCUUUAUCAAAAAAGGUAAAAGAAAUGUUGUUGCUUACAGGAGUUACAAAUUUAGCUGCAAAUCUUGGCAGGAAGUGGACUUAGGAGCCUUUAAACAGGUCCAGUGUUCUAACCACUGGGAGAUGGCCAUAAAUAUAUGUCUGCAAUAUCAUAUUGAUGUCAGACAGAGUUACAGACAUUUUCAAGGCCAGAUUUUCAAAAAAGUAAUUGCAGUCAGAAAAUUUACCCUAUAAUUACAGUGCUCAAAAGACUAGCAAAUGAAUGUGUUGUGAAUCUUUUUCCUACUGAUGGGAAAUAGUAAAAGUACAUGCUGCUUGACCUACAAAACAUCACAAAUUCUUGACUACCUAACAAGUUAAAUGUUGAUCUGAGAGAACAUGUAAUAUCACAGAUUAUCUAAGCAAAAUUGGAGAGGUGUCAUUUUACUGGAUAUCGGUAUGUGUUGGCUAAUGGUAUUAUAUUGGAUAAAUGUUUCUGCUCAAACUGAUAAGCUAAAGAAAGGUCCAUCAUCCAAUGCUGAAUGAAGUUGUAGUUUAUGUCCUCAACAGACCUGCCAUGAGCUGUGAAAUACCAGUUUUCACUGGGAAGAGAGCCAAGGCAUACAACAGUCUGAAGAAAAAGAAUGCAGAGAUUUGCUAAAUAUUUAUUUCAAUUACUUGAACUACCCUAUAUUCUUACUACAAGCAUAUAAAUGUUUACAAACACUUUAUGAUUGAGGAUUACUGGUUGAAAUAGGAUAUUCUAGUUGUUUAAGAAUGCUGUUUUAUUAUUAGUGCAAUUUGUCUCAACUUUUAAUUUUUUUUUUAAGUCAAAAUUCCAAAAAUGAAGCUUUUUGACUGCUAAGCAUCACUGGCCAGAAGCUGUACUGUAAAGUUCUCUAUAGCUUUUUAAAAGGCAACAACAUUUAGAACGUUAUAGUUAAGAGUGUAAAUAAAAAUGUUUCCUCUAAAACUAGUUGAAAGCUAAAUUAUAUUUUUAAUUUCAAAUACAAAUGGAAUGGUUAAUAUGACUGCAUUUUUUUCUGCAAUAUUCUUGAUUCAUUAAAAAUUUACAUUUCAAAGUCUUAAAAACCACACAUGAAAAAAAAGUUGCAAGAUUCUUGCUUUGUUGUAAUAGUAGUACUAGUUGCUUAUCUGGGAAAAUGUCUUCAGGGAGGUUUACUGUGGUAUGUGUAUGUGCUAGGUGCAAGUGGUCUGCUUUUGCUGUCACCAGAUCUGUAAUUUUAGCUUUAUAUUCAGCUUUUUCCAGUGUUGGAGUACAUGCAUGGUUAAUGCUUUUAAAUUUCACUGCUUCUUUGUACAGUCCUUCCAAGAUUUGAUCUUCUUUGUGCACACUUCAAUGUUUUUGUCAAAACUCUGCGCAUCUCGUGUCGGGGCUGUUGGAGUCCACUCUUUGGUAGCGGCACUUCCAGCUGUGCGUGUUCAGAAUAUUCACAGUUCUGUUGCAGAUGUUGACUACUGGUUUGUCACUCUGAUAAAUGUCCCACGAGCCCGUUCACAGGUUUUCCUGCUUCCAACACAUCAAAACCAAGCAUCACAUUAAAACCUCUCAUUAUCUUAGGCAGGUAAAAAGCAUCAGUUCUUGAAGAGUCACAAGAAAACCGAGAACCCCUCCCGAGGUCCUUGGCCCAAAGACUGGCCACAGGGGUCCAAGGGGAAGCAGCACGCGUUUCACAGUGCAAAGCCACACUUUGUGUUUCGGAGUAGGUGCCAGACAAGGGGAGAAGGUGAUUGUGUGUGUGGCUUGGGGAAAAAUUCGGGCAGUAGAGGCAAGCCUCUAGAGUUCUUCCUGCCUGUGAAAUGAAAUGUGAAUUAUUAUUCCCAGAAGAGAAGCAAAUUUAUAAAGGGUAAAAAAGCUACCACCUUUGUUGUUGAAAGUUUGUUGCUUCUGAGGAGCUGGAUAACAGUUUGGAGUCGCUUUCUGAAGCUACCUGCCCAAAGACGGCUUAUCAGUUUCUAUGAAGCUUGCUGCUAUCUCCUGUUCCUCCUGUUCCUCUGCACCCCGUGGCCUUUCUGUCACGUGUCGGUAGAAUGUGCUGAGGUGUGGAGCUGGCAGAACUCAGGAACAAAAUAUGCAUCAGCUCAUCAGCAAGUUAAAGUAGCUUGGCAGACUACCAGGGGACAGGAGGCGUAGACGAGAGAGUUGAGAAGAAAACAUCUAGGCACACCCGGAUGCUCGGAGUUGGGUAAAUACCUGAAACGACCUGAAUGAGAUCGGAAAGGGCCAGAAUAUGGGAAGGAGGGGAAGAUGAUUGUCUCCGUGUGAGAGCUGAGAUCUGAAGUUUUUGCUUAUAUGUUUCGCAUUAUGGCCCUGCCCUUAUGUCUUACCUGUUGUGCUACGGACACUUAGCUUUUAUCCAGCUCUUUCAGUUAUUUGUCAUGGAGAUUUAUGGUUGUCCUUGCCUUGGAAAUUUACGCUAUGCUAACUGUAUUCAAACUGUCGUGUGAAUGGACAGUAACAUAGAUAUUUUCUACAUCCCAAUGCUUUUCUGCGAUCAGACAGAAAAUGAAGCUGACUGUUGGGAAUUACGAUGCAAUGCUAGUAGAUCCCUAGUCAUUCCAGGCAUCGUUCAGGUAGUACGUCUCAAAUCAAUACUGUUAAUCAGUGCAAAGUACGGACCAUGCUUUUUAGAAUUUUAUUUUUACUAUAUGGUGGCAAGAACAUUGCCAGUUAGAAUGACUGUGUCAUUCAUAGGUUCUGUAUUUAUGCUGAUUCUGAUUUCUUUUGAACUAGGAAAUGGGCUAUCCUGUUACCCAUCCAGCAAAUUUAAAACCCAUAUGUUGUUUGAAACAAAUAUUGGUGUGGUUUAUUUUUUGAAGCAUUAUACUUUCUUUUUAAUACACGUUACUGACUGUAAUCCGUUGGAAUAUCAGCAGCUUUAGGAUAUUUGGUGUAGCGAAGCUGCUGGAGUCUAAGAAAAUCUUCCAGUCUUCUUUAGGAUCAGAUGUUAUAUGGAGCUCAUAGGGUACUUGUAAGCACUAAAUAAGAUUCAUAUGAUAGUCUUAGCCUAUAGUCUACCACACACUCAAAUAUGCAUUGCUUUGCUGAAGUAGCAUCUUAUGAUGAGUGUUGUUGAUGAGUGUUAACUUUUUAUGUGGCAUAAUUGUUAGUUUAGUGCUAAACUAUUGCAUUUCGUUAGCCAUUUUGAUAAAAGAAGAAAACGAUUUGCAAUAUUUGCAGUUUUGUAUAUCUGCUUUCUAGUUAGAGGCACGUAAUGUUCACUGUCUUAUUCUUUUCUGUGUGCCAUAGUGCUCUCUGCUGUCCUAGAUUUAUAACUGCAACGUGAAAAUUUAAUACGGUGUUGUUGAUCCUUUGCUACUUGUCCCUGAGGCUCAAGGUUGUCUUUUUUUUAUCACUGAUUUCAUGCCCCUCCACCGAGAUACUGACCAUUUGUAGGUUUAACUUUAGUCAGAACAGCAAAAUAAAUGCUUUGCAAUGCA